GACGAACGCUGGCGGCGUGCUUAACACAUGCAAGUCGAACGGAAAGGCCCUGCUUUUGUGGGGUGCUCGAGUGGCGAACGGGUGAGUAACACGUGAGUAACCUGCCCUUGACUUUCGGAUAACUUCAGGAAACUGGGGUUAAUACCGUAUAGGAGCUCCUGCUGCAUGGUGGGGGUUGGAAAGUUUCGGCGGUUGGGGAUGGACUCGCGGCUUAUCAGCUUGUUGGUGGGGUAGUGGCUUACCAAGGCUUUGACGGGUAGCCGGCCUGGGAGGGUGACCGGCCACAUUGGGACUGAGAUACGGCCCAGACUCCUACGGGAGGCAGCGGUGGGGAAUAUUGCACAGUGGGCGGAAGCCUGAUGAAGCAACGCCGCGUGCGGGAUGACGGCCUUCGGGUUGUAAACCGCUUUCGCCUGUGACGAAGCGUGAGUGACGGUAAUGGGUAAAGAAGCACCGGCUAACUACGUG
rnacentral:rRNA from 1 species